rnacentral:lncRNA from 1 species
AAAAUAAAAACUCGAAAGCAAUUGCUUUCAGCCAACACCCCCUUCCUUUUUCACAUUUUUCUCAUUUUUCUUUGUUUCUUCCUCUUCUCCUCUCUUUUCUUCUUCCUUCCCAAAUAAACAAAUCUUAAAGAACAAAAAAAUAAAAAUAAAAACAACUCUCCCAUCCAGCUCCAGCAACGUAGGGCACUAGAACAUCCCUCUCUCUCUCUCUCUCUCUCUCU